GACGUAGGGCGCGAGCGUUGUCCGGAUUUAUUGGGCGUAAAGAGCUCGUAGGCGGCUUGUCGCGUCGACCGUGAAAACUUGGGGCUCAACCCCAAGCCUGCGGUCGAUACGGGCAGGCUAGAGUUCGGUAGGGGAGACUGGAAUUCCUGGUGUAGCGGUGAAAUGCGCAGAUAUCAGGAGGAACAUCGGUGGCGAAGGCGGGUCUCUGGGCCGAUACUGACGCUGAGGAGCGAAAGCGUGGGGAGCGAACAGG
rnacentral:rRNA from 1 species